rnacentral:misc_RNA from 1 species
AUAACCAUUAACUAGAAUACCCACAAUCAUGGACCUAAAGAGUUUGAAAAUAAAAAUCCAUAUACAUCAAAGGCAAAAAUCUCAAAGCAUUUCAAGCCCAAGCCAUAAUUUGAAACGUAAUUAGUAAUUACUUCCAGCAAAUUUCACCAAUGAAAAUUAGAAUAUUAUUGACUAUAUCAUUGAAUAUUCCAAAUCAAGAUAAAU